rnacentral:rRNA from 1 species
ACGCUCGACACCUACGGGAGGCAGCAGUCGGGAAUAUUGCGCAAUGGAGGAAACUCUGACGCAGUGACGCCGCGUGCAGGAAGAAGGUUCUCGGAUUGUAAACUGCUUUAGACAGGGAAGAACAAAUGACAGUACCUGUAGAAUAAGCUCCGGCUAACUACGUGCCAACAGCCGCGGUAAUCUGAGCGGGCUGGCAAGGC